rnacentral:rRNA from 1 species
CCUACGGGAGGCAGCAGUCGAGAAGCUUCAGCAAUGGGCGAAAGCCUGACCGAGCGACGCCGCGUGAGCGAUGAAGGCCCUAGUGGUUGUAAAGCUCUGUCAGAUUGGGAAUAAAUGCCGGGGGCGAAUAACCCCCGGAGCUGAAGGUACCAUCAGAGGAAGCACCGGCUAACUCCGUGCCAGCAGCCGCGGUAAUACGGAGGGUGCGAGCGUUGUUCGGAUUCACUGGGUAUAAAGGGUGUGUAGGCGGUCCUGCAAGUCAGAGGUGAAAGCCGUCGGCUUAACCGGCGAACUGCCUUUGAAACUGUGGGACUUGAGUCCGGGAGAGGAAGGUGGAAUUCCUGGUGUAGCGGUGAAAUGCGUAAAUAUCAGGAGGAACACCGGUGGCGAAGGCGGCCUUCUGGCCCGGUACUGACGCUGAGGCACGAAAGCCAGGGGAGCAAACGGGAUUAGAUACCCCGGUAGUCCUGGCCGUAAACGAUGGGCACUAGGUGUUGGAGGAGUCUACCCCUUCAGUGCCGCAGCUAAUGCAUUAAGUGCCCACCUGGGGAGUACGGUCGCAAGGCUGAAACUUAAAGGAAUUGACGG